rnacentral:rRNA from 1 species
UACGAAGGGGGCUAGCGUUGCUCGGAAUCACUGGGCGUAAAGGGUGCGUAGGCGGGUCUUUAAGUCAGGGGUGAAAUCCUGGAGCUCAACUCCAGAACUGCCUUUGAUACUGAGGAUCUUGAGUUCGGGAGAGGUGAGUGGAACUGCGAGUGUAGAGGUGAAAUUCGUAGAUAUUCGCAAGAACACCAGUGGCGAAGGCGGCUCACUGGCCCGAUACUGACGCUGAGGAACGAAAGCUAGGGGAGCAAACAGG